rnacentral:rRNA from 1 species
GCUUACGGCCAUAUCAGCCUGGGUACGCCCGAUCUCGUCUGAUCUCGGAAGCUAAGCAGGGUCGGGCCUGGUUAGUAUUUGGAUGGGAGACCGCCUGGGAAUACCAGGUUCUGUAAGCA